rnacentral:rRNA from 1 species
UACAGAGGGGGCAAGCGUUAUUCGGAAUUAUUGGGCGUAAAGGGCGCGUAGGCGGCUUGGCAAGUGGAAGGUGAAAUCCCUCGGCUCAACUGAGGAACUGCCUUCCAGACUGCUUUGCUUGAGUCCGGGAGAGGUGAGUGGAAUUCCCGAGUGUAGCGGUGAAAUGCGUAGAUAUUGGGAGGAACACCAAUGGCGAAGGCAGCUCGCUGGGACGGUACUGACGCUGAGACGCGAAAGCGUGGGGAGCAAACAGG